rnacentral:rRNA from 1 species
UACGUAGGUGACAAGCGCUGUCCGGAUUUACUGGGCGUAAAGAGCGCGCAGGCGGUCGUUCAAGUCGAGUGUGAAAGCCCCCGGCUCAACUGGGGAGGGUCACUCGAUACUGAUCGACUUGAAGGCAGGAGAGGGAAGCGGAAUUCCCGGUGUAGUGGUGAAAUGCGUAGAUAUCGGGAGGAACACCAGUGGCGAAGGCGGCUUCCUGGCCUGCUCUUGACGCUGAGGCGCGAAAGCUAGGGUAGCAAACGGG